GGUUCAAUGGUCUAAUGGUUAUGAUUUCUGUCUCACAUUAUGAUGUGCACAGAAGGUUCCCAGUUCGAUCCUGGGUUGAACCA
rnacentral:tRNA from 1 species